UUUGCUUUGCUUUUGUUUUGACACACACUUUUCCAUUUGCACGAAAAUAUUUUUUGACAAUAGUAAAAUUUCAAGUCCUGACAAACACGUUUGGUUACCGUUUAAAACAGGGGAAAAUUGGCUCACAUUUAGCGAUUUGCUGUUGAUGUGGCUUUAAACAAAAAUUCCAAUUGCAUCCGUGUGGUCUGGGCAAAAUACUUAAUGCGCAGUUAUCAGUGGCAGUCCGGCUUACAUUGUUUCGAUCGAAGUCACGACAACUUUUUGCCACCGUUUGCCAUUAGCAGACAUGCAGCUUGUUGCACUGAGAAAAACUCAGUAAGGGAAUGGAAAUUUUUCGAUCAACAUAGUCCACUUGUUGGUGCUCCCAUCGUUCUUUUUAUUUGUAUAUUGGCUUCUAUGUUAUUUCAAAUAGUAAAUUAUUAAAAUUCAUUAAUUAUUUUGAAACCAA